AGAGUUUGAUCAUGGCUCAGAUUGAACGCUGGCGGCAGGCCUAACACAUGCAAGUCGAGCGGUAGCACAGAGAGCUUGCUCUCGGGUGACGAGCGGCGGACGGGUGAGUAAUGUCUGGGAAACUGCCUGAUGGAGGGGGAUAACUACUGGAAACGGUAGCUAAUACCGCAUAACGUCGCAAGACCAAAGUGGGGGACCUUCGGGCCUCAUGCCAUCAGAUGUGCCCAGAUGGGAUUAGCUAGUAGGUGGGGUAACGGCUCACCUAGGCGACGAUCCCUAGCUGGUCUGAGAGGAUGACCAGCCACACUGGAACUGAGACACGGUCCAGACUCCUACGGGAGGCAGCAGUGGGGAAUAUUGCACAAUGGGCGCAAGCCUGAUGCAGCCAUGCCGCGUGUGUGAAGAAGGCCUUCGGGUUGUAAAGCACUUUCAGCGGGGAGGAAGGCGAUAAGGUUAAUAACCUUGGCGAUUGACGUUACCCGCAGAAGAAGCACCGGCUAACUCCGUGCCAGCAGCCGCGGUAAUACGGAGGGUGCAAGCGUUAAUCGGAAUUACUGGGCGUAAAGCGCACGCAGGCGGUCUGUCAAGUCGGAUGUGAAAUCCCCGGGCUCAACCUGGGAACUGCAUUCGAAACUGGCAGGCUAGAGUCUUGUAGAGGGGGGUAGAAUUCCAGGUGUAGCGGUGAAAUGCGUAGAGAUCUGGAGGAAUACCGGUGGCGAAGGCGGCCCCCUGGACAAAGACUGACGCUCAGGUGCGAAAGCGUGGGGAGCAAACAGGAUUAGAUACCCUGGUAGUCCACGCCGUAAACGAUGUCGAUUUGGAGGUUGUGCCCUUGAGGCGUGGCUUCCGGAGCUAACGCGUUAAAUCGACCGCCUGGGGAGUACGGCCGCAAGGUUAAAACUCAAAUGAAUUGACGGGGGCCCGCACAAGCGGUGGAGCAUGUGGUUUAAUUCGAUGCAACGCGAAGAACCUUACCUGGUCUUGACAUCCACAGAACUUUCCAGAGAUGGAUUGGUGCCUUCGGGAACUGUGAGACAGGUGCUGCAUGGCUGUCGUCAGCUCGUGUUGUGAAAUGUUGGGUUAAGUCCCGCAACGAGCGCAACCCUUAUCCUUUGUUGCCAGCGGU
rnacentral:rRNA from 1 species